rnacentral:rRNA from 1 species
GUGAAAUGCGCAGAUAUCAGGAGGAACACCAAUAGCGAGGGCAGCUCGCUGGGACGGCACUGACGCUGAGACGCGAAAGCGUGGGGAGCAAACAGGAUUAGAUACCAUGGUAGUGCACGCCGUAAGCGAUGGGCACUAGGUGUGGGGGGUGUCGACUCCCCCCGUGCCGGCGCUAACGCAUUAAGUGCCCCGCCUGGGGAGUACGGCCGCAAGGCUAAAACUCAAAGGAAUUGACGGGGGCCCGCACAAGCAGCGGAGCAUGUGGUUUAAUUCGACGCAACGCGAAGAACCUUACCUGGGCUUGACAUGUUCCUGACAGCCGUGGAAACACGGUCUCCCUUCGGGGCAGGAUCACAGGUGGUGCAUGGCUGUCGUCAGCUCGUGUCGUGAGAUGUUGGGUUAAGUCCCGCAACGAGCGCAACCCCCGUCGCAUGUUGCCAGCAUUUAGUUGGGGACUCAUGCGAGACUGCCGGUGACAAACCGGAGGAAGGUGGGGAUGACGUCAAGUCAUCAUGCCCCUUAUGUCCAGGGCUACACACSUGCUACAUUGGCGCGUACAGAGGGCUGCAAGACCGCGAGGUGGAGCGAAUCCCUUAAAGCGCGUCUCGGUUCGGAUUGCAGGCUGAAACUCGCCUGCAUGAAGGCGGAGUUGCUAGUAAUCGCGGAUCAGCACUGCCGCGGUGAAUACGUUCCCGGGCCUUGUACACACCGCCCGUCACACCAUGGGAGUGAGCAACACCCGAAGCCGGUCGCCUAACCCGUAAGGGAGGGAGCCGUCGAAGGUGGGGCUCGCGACUGGGGUGAAGUCGUAACAAGGUAACCGU